rnacentral:rRNA from 1 species
UGAACGGCUAAAUGAGGACUACCCUGUCUCCCGCAGUAACUCAAUGAAACUGAUCUCCCAGUACAAAAGCUGGAAUAAUUCCACAAGACGAGAAGACCCCGUGGAGCUUAAAAUAAACACUAAUCAACCCCCCCCGCCCCUCCGGGGCCCAUUCACCAAAAAUUAGUGCACAUUUUCAGUUGGGGCGACUACGGAAAAAAACAAAACUUCCACACAACAGGCCAACCCCCUACACCAGGCCUACGAGCCUAAAUAUGUAACCCACGACCCAGUAACACUGAUCAUUGAACCAAGUUACCCCGGGGAUAACAGCGCUAUCCUCUUUAAGAGCCCAUAUCGCCAAGAGGGUUUACGACCUCGAUGUUGGAUCAGGACCCCCAGGUGGCGCAGUCGCUACCAACGGUUCGUUUGUUCAACGACUAA